rnacentral:rRNA from 1 species
CCUACGGGUGGCAGCAGUAGGGAAUUUUGCGCAAUGGGCGAAAGCCUGACGCAGCAACGCCGCGUGAUCGAGACGCCCUUCGGGGUGUAAAGAUCUGUCAGUGGGGACGAAACUUGACGGUAACCACAGAGGAAGCACCGGCUAACUCCGUGCCAGCAGCCGCGGGAAUACGGGGGGUGCAAGCGUUGUCCGGAAUCAUUGGGCGGAAAGAGUUCGUAGGCGGCAUGUAAAGUCUGGUGUUAAAGGCAGAGGCUCAACUUCUGUACGGCACUGGAUACUUGCGAGCUAGAAUGCGGUAGAGGUAAAGGGAAUUCCAGGUGUAGCGGUGAAAUGCGUAGAUAUCAGGAGGAACAUCGGUGGCGUAAGCGCUUUACUGGGCCGUAAUUGACGCUGAGGAACGAAAGCCAGGGUAGCAAAUGGGAUUAGAUACCCGAGUAGUC